AAAUUUUCUUCUUCUUCUUCUUCUUCUUUUUAAGGAAAAGAUAACAUAUUACCUGCUUUAUUUAUUGAAAAGAUGAAUUGAGCUAUAAGGGUAAGGCCACAUGAUGUCUCAAACAAGACGGACAUGAAAAAAAAAAAAAAAACUUGUAUAAAAUCUUGUAGACUGUUAGUGCUGUUUUGCUGAAAGAAUUUGGCCCCACAGAUUCAUUAAUUGUUUAAUCUUGUAGAUGGCGAGAAAAGAAUUUGACUGAGCCUUCCUACAGAUCGUGCCGUUUCUGAUCUCCCAAAUGACGCAUUAGCAGGUU
rnacentral:lncRNA from 1 species